GAUGAACGCUGGCGUUGUGCCUAAUACAUGCAAGUCGAGCGAACGGACGAGAAGCUUGCUUCUCUGAUGUUAGCGGCGGACGGGUGAGUAACACGUGGAUAACCUACCUAUAAGACUGGGAUAACUUCGGGAAACCGGAGCUAAUACCGGAUAAUAUUUUGAACCGCAUGGUUCAAAAGUAAAAGACGGUCUUGCUGUCACUUAUAGAUGGAUCCGCGCUGCAUUAGCUAGUUGGUAAGGUAACGGCUUACCAAGGCAACGAUGCAUAGCCGACCUGAGAGGGUGAUCGGCCACACUGGAACUGAGACACGGUCCAGACUCCUACGGGAGGCAGCAGUAGGGAAUCUUCCGCAAUGGGCGAAAGCCUGACGGAGCAACGCCGCGUGAGUGAUGAAGGUCUUCUGAUCGUAAAACUCUGUUAUUAGGGAAGAACAUAUGUGUAAGUAACUGUGCACAUCUUGACGGUACCUAAUCAGAAAGCCACGGCUAACUACGUGCCCACACCCGCGGUAAUACGUAAGUGGCAAGCGUUAUCCCGAAUUAUUGGGGGUAAAGCGCGCCUAGGCGGUUUUUUAGUCUGAUGUGAAAGCCCACGGCUCAACCGUGGAGGGUCAUUGGAAACUGGAAAACUUGAGUGCAGAAGAGGAAAGUGGAAUUCCAUGUGUAGCGGUGAAAUGCGCAGAGAUAUGGAGGAACACCAGUGGCGAAGGCGACUUUCUGGUCUGUAACUGACGCUGAUGUGCGAAAGCGUGGGGAUCAAACAGGAUUAGAUACCCUGGUAGUCCACGCCGUAAACGAUGAGUGCUAAGUGUUAGGGGGUUUCCGCCCCUUAGUGCUGCAGCUAACGCAUUAAGCACUCCGCCUGGGGAGUACGACCGCAAGGUUGAAACUCAAAGGAAUUGACGGGGACCCGCACAAGCGGUGGAGCAUGUGGUUUAAUUCGAAGCAACGCGAAGAACCUUACCAAAUCUUGACAUCCUUUGACAACUCUAGAGAUAGAGCCUUCCCCUUCGGGGGACAAAGUGACAGGUGGUGCAUGGUUGUCGUCAGCUCGUGUCGUGAGAUGUUGGGUUAAGUCCCGCAACGAGCGCAACCCUUAAGCUUAGUUGCCAUCAUUAAGUUGGGCACUCUAAGUUGACUGCCGGUGACAAACCGGAGGAAGGUGGGGAUGACGUCAAAUCAUCAUGCCCCUUAUGAUUUGGGCUACACACGUGCUACAAUGGACAAUACAAAGGGCAGCGAAACCGCGAGGUCAAGCAAAUCCCAUAAAGUUGUUCUCAGUUCGGAUUGUAGUCUGCAACUCGACUACAUGAAGCUGGAAUCGCUAGUAAUCGUAGAUCAGCAUGCUACGGUGAAUACGUUCCCGGGUCU
rnacentral:rRNA from 1 species